rnacentral:rRNA from 1 species
GCCAGCAGCUGUCACUCUGCAACUCACAACUAGCAACCCACUGAAGCUAAGCAGGUGUGAGCCUGGUCAGUACCUGGAUGGGAGACCUCCUGGGAAAAACUACUGUUGCUGCUGGAA